CUGUUAACUGGUUAUGCGAAUCGCCUGCGGCUAGAAUCAACGGACUCUUCUUGGGCUGUAAACCAAACUGACCGCAACGGCGACUGUGAGAUAGUCAUUGCAACGCGGCUUUCAUUAUGUGAACUUUUCAUGGACUUUUUAGCAGACUUUGUCAGAGGAAGAGGAGAAGGAAGA